CCUACGGGUGGCAGCAGUGGGGAAUAUUGGGCAAUGGAGGCAACUCUGACCCAGCAACGCCGCGUGAGCGAUGAAGGUCUUCGGAUUGUAAAGCCCUGUCGCAGGGGACGAAGUAUGACGGUACCCUGUAAGAAAGCCCCGGCUAACUCCGUGCCAGCAGCCGCGGUAAUACGGAGGGUGCAAGCGUUACUCGGAAUCACUGGGCGUAAAGAGCGCGUAGGCGGGAAAGCAAGUCAGAUGUGAAAUCCUAUGGCUUAACCAUAGAACUGCAUUUGAAACUGUUAUUCGAGAGUAUGGGAGAGGUAGGUGGAAUUCUUGGGGUAGGGGUAAAAUCCGUAGAGAUCAAGAGGAAUACGCAUUGCGAAGGCGACCUGCUAGAACAUAACUGACGCUGAUGCGCGAAAGCGUGGGGAGCAAACAGGAUUAGAUACCCUUGUAGUC
rnacentral:rRNA from 1 species